rnacentral:rRNA from 1 species
GACGAACGCUGGCGGCGUGCUUAACACAUGCAAGUCGAACGGAAAGGCCCUGCUUUUGUGGGGUGCUCGAGUGGCGAACGGGUGAGUAACACGUGAGUAACCUGCCCUUGACUUUGGGAUAACUUCAGGAAACUGGGGCUAAUACCGGAUAGGAGCUCCUGCUGCAUGGUGGGGGUUGGAAAGUUUCGGCGGUUGGGGAUGGACUCGCGGCUUAUCAGCUUGUUGGUGGGGUAGUGGCUUACCAAGGCUUUGACGGGUAGCCGGCCUGAGAGGGUGACCGGCCACAGUGGGACUGAGAUACGGCCCAGACUCCUACGGGAGGCAGCAGUGGGGAAUAUUGCAGAAUGGGCGGAAGCCUGAUGCAGCAACGCCGCGUGCGGGAUGACGGCCUUCGGGUUGUAAACCGUUUUCGCCUGUGACGAAGCGUGAGUGACGGUAAUGGGUAAAGAAGCACCGGCUAACUACGUG